GAUGAACGCUGGCGGCGUGCUUAACACAUGCAAGUCGAACGAAGCACUUUGAUUGAUUUCUUCGGAAUGAAGUUUUUGUGACUGAGUGGCGGACGGGUGAAUAACGCGUGGGUAACCUACCUCAUACAGGGGGAUAACAGUUGGAAACGACUGCUAAUACCGCAUAAGCGCACAGGAUUGCAUGAUCCAGUGUGAAAAACUCCGGUGGUAUGAGAUGGACCCGCGUCUGAUUAGCCAGUUGGCGGGGUAACGGCCCACCAAAGCGACGAUCAGUAGCCGACCUGAGAGGGUGACCGGCCACAUUGGGACUGAGACACGGCCCAAACUCCUACGGGAGGCAGCAGUGGGGAAUAUUGCACAAUGGGGGAAACCCUGAUGCAGCGACGCCGCGUGAGCGAAGAAGUAUUUCGGUAUGUAAAGCUCUAUCAGCAGGGAAGAAGAAUGACGGUACCUGACUAAGAAGCACCGGCUAAAUACGUGCCAGCAGCCGCGGUAAUACGUAUGGUGCAAGCGUUAUCCGGAUUUACUGGGUGUAAAGGGAGCGCAGGCGGUACGGCAAGUCUGAUGUGAAAUCCCGGGGCUCAACCCCGGUACUGCAUUGGAAACUGUCGGACUAGAGUGUCGGAGGGGUAAGUGGAAUUCCUAGUGUAGCGGUGAAAUGCGUAAAUAUUAGGAGGAACACCAGUGGCGAAGGCGGCUUACUGGACGAUUACUGACGCUGAGGCUCGAAAGCGUGGGGAGCAAACAGGAUUAGAUACCCUGGUAGUCCACGCCGUAAACGA
rnacentral:rRNA from 1 species